rnacentral:rRNA from 1 species
AGUGAACGCUGGCGGUAGGCCUAACACAUGCAAGUCGAACGGCAGCACAGUAAGAGCUUGCUCUUACGGGUGGCGAGUGGCGGACGGGUGAGGAAUACAUCGGAAUCUACUUUUUCGUGGGGGAUAACGUAGGGAAACUUACGCUAAUACCGCAUACGCCCUACGGGUGAAAGCAGGGGAUUUUCGGCCCUUGCGCGAUUGAAUGCGCCGAUGUCGGAUUAGCUAGUUGGCGGGGUAAAGGCCCACCAAGGCGACGAUCCGUAGCUGGUCUGAGAGGAUGAUCAGCCACACUGGAACUGAGACACGGUCCAGACUCCUACGGGAGGCAGCAGUGGGGAAUAUUGGACAAUGGGCGCAAGCCUGAUCCAGCCAUACCGCGUGGGUGAAGAAGGCCUUCGGGUUGUAAAGCCCUUUUGUUGGGAAAGAAAAGCAGCAGGUUAAUACCCCGCUGUUCUGACGGUACCCAAAGAAGAAGCACCGGCUAACUUCGUG